rnacentral:rRNA from 1 species
AUUAGCUAGUUGGGAGGGUAACGGCCUGCCAAGGCUAUGAUGUUUAGGGGACCUGAGAGGGUGACCCCCCACACUGGUACUGAGACACGGACCAGACUCCUACGGGAGGCAGCAGUGAGGAAUAUUGGUCAAUGGGCGGCAGCCUGAACCAGCCAUCCCGCGUGAAGGAAGAAUGCGCUAUGCGUUGUAAACGGCUAACUCCGUGCCAGCAGCCGCGGUAAUACGGAGGAUGCGAGCGUUAUCCGGAUUUAUUGGGUUUAAAGGGUGCGUAGGCGGAACAAUAAGUCAGUGGUGAAACCCUGCAGCUUAACUGUAGACUUGCCGUUGAUACUGUUGUUCUUGAGUAUGGUCAAGGCAGGCGGAAUGUGUAAUGUAGCGGUGAAAUGCUUAGAUAUUACACAGAACACCGAUUGCGAAGGCAGCUUGCUGGGCCGUUACUGACGCUGAUGCACGAAAGCGUGGGGAUCGAACAGGAUUAGAUACCCUGGCAGUCCACGCCGUAAACGAUGAUCACUAGCUGUUGGCGAUACACAGUCAGCGGCAAAGCAAAAGCAUUAAGUGAUCCACCUGGGGAGUACGGCCGCAAGGC